AAUAUACUAGACUUUUAUCAGCGGAGGUGUAACUCGCACGAUAGAUCAUUAUGCAGGUGUUCCAUUCCAAAUGAAGUUUUUCUGCUGAAAUAUCAGUUUUCAAAACAAAACUACAGUUCCAAUGCUAGGAAGGAAACUUGGGGAGAUGUCACUUCUAGAGUAAAUGCUGUAAAUUCAACAGACUAUGUCCGGUCGGAGGAAGAAAAGACGAAAAAGUGGAUAUGCCUAAACAGCGAAAGUAGGAAAAAAGUUAGCUGUGGGAUAUUCUAAACGAAUAUUGAGUUCAUCAUAAAGAUCACAUGUCGCGGUAUACGGAGCUUAUCAAUAAUGUCCACAUCCUCCAUAUAGUCUAAUAGAUUGUUUCUGUCCCUGAAACCACGUUCCCUCCGGAUAAGCUACCUAUCUCUAAGCACAACAUAGUUCAGUAUAGACUUAAGUCCAGUAUCUGGAUGUCUUAAGAUUUAUAGCAAUCUUAAAAUGAUCUUAAGAUAUGACAGUUUUGUGAAACAGCUAUGAUGAAUUCUAUGACAAAUUUUGGUCAAAAAUGAAAUAUAUUUACAUUCUACUUUCACGGUGGCGAAUCACGUGACUUUGGCACGACCUAUUACCCGGAAAAAUGACGACGAAAGUCAACACAUGGGAAAUUCACACGAAUAAGUCACUUUUAUCAAUAACGAAUUGUCACAUAACUUAUAUCAACACUUGGGAUUUUCUUAGGAACAAAUCUACACUAAAAUGGUAGUUCUAAGUGUGGUAGAAGUAGAGAACAUUCACAUAGUUUUUUUGUUUUCAGUCAACAAAUUUCCGAUCGCCAAAUAACUAUGUCACAUUGAAAAUGUAAAUAUUUACUUUUAUGUAUUCAUUCACGGAAUACUCCAAAGUAUAGGGAAACAAUAAGAAUUCAUGUGGUAAUUGAUUAAAACAACUACAGUCUCCAUCAUUUACUUAAAAAAAAAAACGAAACCAGAAAUGUAUUGAAUUCAUUAUUCAAAGGGAAAGGCAACCCUAACCACAUUGUUGCUUUUAUGAAAAAGUAUUACUUGCUUAUAUCGUAAAUGACAGUCUUUAACAACAAAAUCCUUGCUUAACGAUUAAAUCAAUAUUAACCUAUCAUAUAUUUUAAAUUACCCGCCACUAAGAGAGCGAUCAUUGAAGUUUAAUAUAUGACGUCACACAAGAGGUUCCGGUUUACUUCAUCAGCAGCACUGUAAACAUGACAAGUGACGAACAGUUAACUUUGGAGCCGUAUAGAUUUGAGCCCAUUCUUUUGCAAGAAGAAACUAAGAAAAGAAAUCUUCAGUCGAGUCGCAGACCAUGCAAACAGUAAACGUUUCUUCAUACAGAUGUCUCGAACCUCAACUUGUCAUUAAGCAAAUGAUGGAUCCACAGUUUACACAGUCCUUUCUUUUCAGAUGACUUGGAUGAGUCAGGAAUUUCGAGAGAAAAACCCACCCUAACAAGCAAACCUUUUUUCCACAUAUCCCCUUCGUAUUAGUGUUAUUAACUGCUUGACAGGAAAGGCAUCAACCUAUUCAUUCGUAAAAUCUGCAUUGCUGACCUUAGAAUCUCAUCAAAACCGGUAGUGUUGAAUACAAGAGAGUUCCACACCAUGACAGCCUCUACACCACUCUGAUUCCACGCACAAGUACCCUGAAGUUGAAAUAAAAAAUAUGCUAGAGUUCCUCAUCGUGGUCUUCGGUGAUCAGGUCUUCCAACAGUCUGUUUGAAUUUCCAUGGGCACGAAUUGUGCUCCUUUGUUAGCUGACCUGUUUCUAUGUUCAUAUGAAGCAGAAUUUUUUCAAAAACUUAUACGUGAGAAGAAGAAAUCUCUUGCUGUGGUCUUCAAUUCGACAUUUAGAUAUAUUGACGACGUUUCGUCUAUUAACAAUGAUAACUUUCAUUCAUAUGUCGAUUCGAUAUAUCCAUGUGAGCUCGAAAUAAAAGACACCACAGAGUCGUCCACUUCUC